rnacentral:rRNA from 1 species
GAUGAACGCUGGCGGCGUGCCUAAUACAUGCAAGUCGAGCGAACAGACGAUGAGCUUGCUCGUCUGACGUUAGCGGCGGACGGGUGAGUAACACGUUGAUAACCUACCUAUAAGACUGGGAUAACUUCGGGAAACCGGAGCAAAUACCGGAUAAUAUCUUGAACCGCAUUGUUCCAUAGUGAAAGACGGUUUUGCUGUAACUUAUCGCUGGAUCGCGGCCGCAUUAGCUAGUUGGUAAGAUAACGGGUUACCAAGGCGACGAUCAUUAGCCGACCGGGGAGGGUGAUCGGCCACACUGGACCUGAGACACGGCCCAGACUCCUACGGGAGGCAGCAGUAGGGAAUCUUCCGCAAUGGGCGAAAGCCUGACGGAGAAACGCCGCGUGAGUGAUGAAGGUCUUCGGAUCGUAAAACUCUGUUAUUAGGGAAGAACAAAUGUGUAAGUAACUAUGCACGUCUUGACGGUACCUAAUCAGAAAGCCACGGCUAACUACGUG